GACGAACGCUGGCGGCGUGCCUAAUACAUGCAAGUCGAGCGGGAGAAGCUUCCUUUGGGAAGUGGAUCUAGCGGCGAACGGGUGAGUAACACGUGGGCAACCUACCUACAAGCCUGGGAUAACUUCGGGAAACCGGAGCUAAUACCAGAUAAUCUUUUCCUUCGCAUGAAGGAAAAGGGAAAGGUUUUUUUAUCACUUGUAGAUGGGCCCGCGGCGCAUUAGCUAGUUGGUGGGGUAACGGCCUACCAAGGCGACGAUGCGUAGCCGGCCUGAGGGGGUGAUCGGCCACACUGGGACUGAGACACGGCCCAGACUCCUGCGGGAGGCAGCAGUAGGGAAUUUUCCGCAAUGGGCGCAAGCCUGACGGAGCAACGCCGCGUGAGUGAGGACGGCCUCCGGGUUGUAAAGCUCUGUUCUCUCGGAAGAGGGACAUAGAGCCAGAGUAGGUUCUAUGUAGGGACGGUAUGAGAGGAGAAAGCCCCGGCUAACUAC
rnacentral:rRNA from 1 species